rnacentral:rRNA from 1 species
GACGAACGCUGGCGGCGUGCUUAACACAUGCAAGUCGAACGAUGAAGCCGGAGCUUGCUCCGGUGGAUUAGUGGCGAACGGGUGAGUAACACGUGAGCAAUCUGCCCUUGACUCUGGGAUAACUGCGGGAAACUGUAGCUAAUACCGGAUACGACACCUUGGGGCAUCCCAGGGUGUGGAAAGAAUUUCGGUCAAGGAUGAGCUCGCGGCCUAUCAGCUAGUUGGUGAGGUAAUGGCCCACCAAGGCGACGACGGGCAGCCGGCCUGAGAGGGUGACCGACCAACCUGGAACUGAGACACGGUCAAGACUCCUACGGGAGGCAGCAGUGGGGAAUAUUGCACAAUGGGCGAAAGCCUGAUGCAGCAACGCCGCGUGAGGGAUGAAGGCCUUCGGGUUGUAAACCUCUUUUAGCAGGGAAGAAGCGAAAGUGACGGUACCUGCAGAAAAAGCACCGGCUAACUACGUGCCAGCAGCCGCCGUAA